AUAAAGGGGAUACACAGCACAACUCUGUAGGUGCCAUUUUAUUUCAUCCUUGCCACAAUCCUGUAGGUGAGGACUGUUGGCUCCUUAUCUUCCACAUUGAAGGGACUGAGAAAAGGCUCUGAGAACUUAAGAACCUCGACCAAGUCGCACAUCAGGGGUAAAGACCGCUUCCCAGACUUGUGGAGACAGACAUACCACAGGAACCUUCAUGAGCUAAACAAUUUCCCAGGAAGAGAGCAAGGCUUAAUCUAAAGGAAGGAAUUGCCUGAAAUAGAAGCAGUUUGCUGAGGUGAAACAAGUCUAGACUCUGAAA
rnacentral:lncRNA from 13 species